UACGGGGGAUGCAAGCGUUAUCCGGAUUUAUUGGGUUUAAAGGGUGCGUAGGCGGGAUGCCAAGUCAGCGGUAAAAAUGCGGUGCUCAACGCCGUCGAGCCGUUGAAACUGGCGUUCUUGAGUGGGCGAGAAGUAUGCGGAAUGCGUGGUGUAGCGGUGAAAUGCAUAGAUAUCACGCAGAACUCCGAUUGCGAAGGCAGCAUACCGGCGCCCUACUGACGCUGAGGCACGAAAGCGUGGGUAUCGAACAGG
rnacentral:rRNA from 1 species